rnacentral:rRNA from 1 species
UUAGAUACCCCACUAUGCCCAACCGUAAACUUUAAAUUACACCCACAUCGCCCGGGAACUACGAGCAAAGCUUAAAACCCAAAGGACUUGACGGUACCCCACAUCCACCUAGAGGAGCCUGUCCUAUAAUCGAUAACCCCCGCUUAACCUCACCAUUUUUAGCCUAUCAGCCUGUAUACCUCCGUCGUCAGCUUACCACGUGAGCGACCCUUAGUGAGCUUGAUGCCUAUACGCCAACACGUCAGGUCAAGGUGCAGCAGAUAAAAUGGGAAGAGAUGGGCUACACUCUCUACUCUAGAAAACACGGAAGAUUAUUUAUGAAACCUAGUCAGAAGGCGGAUUUAGUAGUAAAAAGAGACAAUAGUGCUCUUUUUAACAUGGCACUGGGGUGUGUACACACCGCCCGUCACCCUCUUCAAAGCUAAUAUUGAGUCUAUGACACACUUAAGCACUAUAGAAGAGGCAAGUCGUAACAUGGUAAGUAUACCGGAAGGUGUGCUUGGAAA